GGGCCCGUAGCUCAGCUGGCCAGAGCGCUUGCGUGGCACGCAAGAGGUCGUCGGUUCGAUCCCGAUCGGGUCCACCA
rnacentral:tRNA from 2 species